AACGUAGGAGACAAACGUUAUCCGGAGUACUGGGCGUAAAGGGCGUGUGAGGCGGUUUGUUAAGCUGGCGUGAAAGCUCUCGGCUAAACCGGGAGAGGUCGUUGGAUACUGGCAGACUAGAGGACGGUAGAGGGCGGUGUGGAAUUCCCGGGUGUAGUGGUGAAAUGCGUAGAGAUCCGGAGAACACCAGUGGCGAAGGCGACA
rnacentral:rRNA from 1 species